rnacentral:rRNA from 1 species
UACGUAGGGUGCAAGCGUUAAUCGGAAUUACUGGGCGUAAAGCGUGCGCAGGCGGUGAUGUAAGACAGAUGUGAAAUCCCCGGGCUCAACCUGGGAACUGCAUUUGUGACUGCAUCGCUGGAGUGCGGCAGAGGGGGAUGGAAUUCCGCGUGUAGCAGUGAAAUGCGUAGAGAUGUGGAGGAAUACCGAUGGCGAAGGCAGCCUCCGUGGGCUAACACUGACGCUCAGGCACGAAAGCGUGGGGAGCAAACAGG